UAAUAAUUUUUCUUAAGAUGAUCCAAAUAAAAAAAUCAUACAUGAAAGAAGUCAUGACUUUUGUUUUAAUAUAUAAAUUAGUCUCUCACAAAUAUAGUAAUGAUAUAUAACCAUAUUGUAAUUAAAUUUAAUCUCUAAAAAGUUAGAUUAAAUAAUAGGGAAAAUUGGCAUUCAUACCAUAAAUCGAGCCUCUAAUUAGAGUUUUGCCUCUUGUCGACAAAAAAAAAAAAUUAGAGUUUUGCCUCUGAUAUGACAUUAAUAAUUUUAUUCCGGAAUUAACCUUACCAAAACAUUGGCGAACGCAUAGGUAGCUUUGUCAGUUCACUCAGCGCAUGUCAGUGUGUCAGCCUACUUGCCAUAGCCCUUCAUUCUUACCCCAUUCUAGCUAUUUCUCUAUCCUCUUACUCUAGGCUCUAGCUCUCUCUCUCUCCUUACUAUCUCAUAAGAAGAAAAAAAAUCGUUGUUAAUCGUCUUUCUCCUCACUCUCUUUGAUUUCUUAUCCCCAUAACAUAAACCAAUCGAUUGACUAAUCGUCAAUGUUUUCUCAUCCUCUUUGUUUUCUUCUUAGCUUUUUUUGAUUAUGUCUUUUUCAAUUAUGAAGAUCUUUAUAAUCGGAAAAAUGGAUGAGGAUGUCAUCUCAGGUGAAACUUGCACUGGAUCUGGAAACAUAUUCGUUGAUGAAGUCUCUUCCUUAGAUCGGGAAGCUGUUUCUAAAGAACAAAGCGGAAACUAGAGAGGAGACGAGCGACUUCGUGAUGUUUUUUAUGUGGAUUAUAUUUGUGUUAUCAGGCAUUAAACUUGUUAUCCAAUCAUGUUUUAGUGAAUCUUCAGUUUUAUGUCGCCAUUUGAGAUAAAUGUUUUGUUGGCUGUUACUUUUUUAUUGUUUCUAAUUAAUAAUAUGUGGUAAAGUGUUACAAACUA